rnacentral:rRNA from 1 species
AUUGAACGCUGGCGGCAGGCCUAACACAUGCAAGUCGAGCGGUAGAGAGGUGCUUGCAUCUCUUGAGAGCGGCGGACGGGUGAGUAAUGCCUAGGAAUCUGCCUAGUGGUGGGGGAUAACGUUCGGAAACGGACGCUAAUACCGCAUACGUCCUACGGGAGAAAGCGGGGGAUCUUCGGACCUCGCGCCAUUAGAUGAGCCUAGGUCGGAUUAGCUAGUUGGUGAGGUAAUGGCUCACCAAGGCGACGAUCCGUAACUGGUCUGAGAGGAUGAUCAGUCACACUGGAACUGAGACACGGUCCAGACUCCUACGGGAGGCAGCAGUGGGGAAUAUUGGACAAUGGGCGAAAGCCGUGAUCCAGCCAUGCCGCGUGUGUGAAGAAGGUCUUCGGAUUGUAAAGACAC